AUGAGUAGUCCCCCCUGUGCAAUCUUGAGCUGGAACGUCCGUGGCCUGAACUCGCCGGCGAGGCGCUCGGCCGUCCGUGAAGUAGUCGACGUGCAUCGGCCCCUGGUGCUCUGCAUCCAGGAAACAAAGCUUGACACUUGGUCGCCAGACCUGGUUAGGCAAAUUGGCGGUAGUAGGCUAGAUGGCUGCAUGGUGUUGCCGGCGAUCUGCACGCGAGGGGGAGCAGCCAUCCUCUGGGACAGCGGCGCCAUCCACAUAUCCACGCACGCUGUUGGCCGCUUCGCCAUCACCGCCAAAGCCACGGUGCAGCACGACAAUGUUUCCUUUUGGCCGACGACCGUAUACGGCCCCGCCGAUGACACGCGCAAGGAUGACUUCCUCCACGAGCUCGCCGCCACCGUGCCGCCGCCGGGCCAGCCAUGGCUCAUAAACGGCAACUUCAACAUCAUCUACGAGGCACGCGACAAAAACAACCUAAAUCUCAAUAGGCACAUUAUGGGUAGGUUUAGAUCGGUGAUCGACGCUACGGGCCUGCGUGAGAUCAAAUGCAAAAAUUGUAGAUACACUUGGAGUAACGAGCGGCGGAGCCCCACCCUGGUCAGCAUCGACAAAUUCUUCUGUAACACCAACUGGGAGAUGCUAUUCCCCUCGCACACACUCAUGGUGGCUUCCACGGCCUGCUCGGACCACUGCUCGCUCCUCCUGGCUAACGCGCAGGCAGGCAAGGAUCAGGUUCGAGUCCUUCUGGCCCCGUUUUCCUAG
rnacentral:rRNA from 1 species